UAAUAGAGGCGCGUCCGAUAUGAGAAACGUCGGUGCGGAGGGCUUUUUCGAAAGAAUAAGCUAUGCCGACGCGGGAAAGGAAAGGACGCCGAAGAGAGAAAUUUUGAUCCGGAAAAUUUCUUAUCUGGGCGCAAGGGAAAUACUUUUGCGACUGUCUUGAAAUUGUUUCACGACGA
rnacentral:ncRNA from 1 species